rnacentral:rRNA from 1 species
GAGUUUGAUCCUGGCUCAGGACGAACGCUGGCGGCGUGCUUAACACAUGCAAGUCGAACGAACUCGACCUUCGGGUCAUAUGAGUGAGUGGCGAACGGGUGAGUAACACGUGAGAAAUCUGCCUCAAAGUUUGGAAUAACCCAGGGAAACUCGGGCUAAUGCCAAAUACCUUGUGUAGACCGAAUGGUCAAUAUAAGAAAGAUUUAUCGCUUUGAGAGGGUCUCGCGGCCUAUCAGCUAGUUGGUGAGGUAAUGGCUCACCAAGGCAUUGACGGGUAGCUAGUCUGAGAGGACGAUUAGCCACACUGGAACUGAGAUACGGUCCAGACUCCUACGGGAGGCAGCAGUCGGGAAUAUUGCACAAUGGACGAAAGUCUGAUGCAGCGACGCCGCGUGGGGGAUGAAGGCCUUAGGGUCGUAAACCCCUUUCAGUAGGGAAGAAAAUGACGGUACCUACAGAAGAAGCCCCGGCCAACUACGUGCCAGCAGCCGCGGUAAGACGUAGGGGGCGAGCGUUGUCCGGAAUUAUUGGGCGUAAAGAGCUCGUAGGCGGUUUUGUAAGUCAGAUGUGAAAACUCAGGGCUUAACCCUGAGACGCCAUCUGAUACUGCAAUGACUAGAAUCCAGUAGGGGAGUGUGGAAUUCCUGGUGUAGCGGUGAAAUGCACAGAUAAGGAGCGAAAGCAUGGGUAGCAAACAGGAUUAGAUACCCUGGUAGUCCAUGCCGUAAACGGUGGGCACUAGGUGUAGGGACUUUCAACGGUCUCUGUGCCGAAGCUAACGCAUUAAGUGCCCCGCCUGGGGAGUACGGCCGCAAGGCUAAAACUCAAAGGAAUUGACGGGGGCCCGCACAAGCGGCGGAGCAUGUUGCUUAAUUCGAGGCAACGCGAAGAACCUUACCUAGGUUUGACAUGUAUCGAAAAGCCAUAGAGAUAUGGUGUCCUUCGGGGCGAUACACAGGUGGUGCAUGGCUGUCGUCAGCUCGUGUCGUGAGAUGUUGGGUUAAGUCCCGCAACGAGCGCAACCCUCGUCCUGUGUUGCUAACACGUAAUGGUGAGGACUCACAGGAGACUGCCGUGGUUAACACGGAGGAAGGUGGGGAUGAGGUCAAGUCAUCAUGCCCCUUAAGCCUAGGACUGCAAACAUGCUACAAUGGCAGGCACAACGGGCUGCUAUACCGCGAGGUAAAGCGAAUCCCUUAAAGCCUGUCUCAGUUCGGAUCGAAGUCUGCAACUCGACUUCGUGAAGCUGGAGUCGCUGGUAAUCCCAGAUCAGCAACGCUGGGGUGAAUACGUUCCCGGGCCUUGUACACACCGCCCGUCACACCACGAAAGUCGGUAACACCCAAAGCACGUGGCUCAACCUUCGGGAGAGAGCGUUCUAAGGUGGGACUGGCGAUUGGGGUGAAGUCGUAACAAGGUAGCCGUACCGGAAGGUGUGGCUGGAUCACCUCCUUUCU